rnacentral:lncRNA from 1 species
CAAGUGCUCUAUCAGAGGGCCAUUAGACUGAGGCUCGUGCAUGAGGGGAUAGCAUGCUUUUACUUUCACUCUCUUUGUAAUAAAAAACGAUUUCCCGGUCGGAAUAUUAUCGCUUUUUUACGAGAAAAAUUGCAUAAAAAUUGAUUUUAAACAGCGGUUGACAUGCUUCGAAGUACGGUAAUGGAAUAUUUAGAAUUUUUUUGUCACGAAAUGCGCCAUGCUCGUAACCCUUCUUUACCCUUUCGGAUAGUGUCUUGAACGCACGAACAAAACGCCGCUAUUUGGUUAUAACAAUGGAUUAUUUGGGACCAAACCAACAUUUGUUAUUGAAGUAGAAGUCCUGGGAGUGCAUUCUGACGAAGACAGCAAAGGUGGAGAGGGAGUAAGAUUACUAGAAAGCAUGCAUGCUGCCAGACCACCAAAGGACCCUAGAGUGCUAGAUGUACGGUUUGAAGGAGGACUUGGGUGGGGAAAGUUUUUUGAUCAAUGUGAA